rnacentral:misc_RNA from 1 species
GAUGAAGAACGUAGCGAAAUGCGAUAAGUAAUGUGAAUUGCAGAAUUCAGUGAAUCAUCGAAUCUUUGAACGCACAUUGCGCCCCUUGGUAUUCCGAGGGGCAUGCCUGUUCGAGCGUCAUUAUAACCCCUCAAGCUCAGCUUGGUGUUGGGGCCUGCUGCACUGGCAGCCCUUAAAAUCAGUGGCGGCGCCGUCUGGCUCUAAGCGUAGUAAUUCUUCUCGCUAUGGAGUCCUGGUGGAUGCUUGCCAUCAACCCCCAAUUUUUCUAUGGUUGACCUCGGAUCAGGUAGGGAUACCCGCUGAACUUAAGCAUAUCAAUAAGCGGAGGG